CAAGGUAUAGCUCAGUGGUAAAGCACGUGCUUAGCAUGCACAAGGUCCUGGGUUCAGCUCCCAUUACCUCCA
rnacentral:tRNA from 1 species